rnacentral:sRNA from 12 species
CCCAGCGAUGAAUCGCUGGGCUAUUGUCCAACGACCCGCCGGGUCG